rnacentral:rRNA from 1 species
CGCGCAGGCGGAUAGGUAAGUCAGAUGUGAAAUCUCGGGGCUCAACUCCGAAACUGCGUCUGAAACUGCUUAUCUAGAAUCUCGGAGAGGGAGGUGGAAUUUCGCAUGUAGGGGUAAAAUCCGUAGAGAUGCGAAGGAACAUCAGAGGCGAAGGCGGCCUCCUGGCCGAGUAUUGACGCUGAGGCGCGAAAGCGUGGGGAGCAAACAGGAUUAGAUACCCUGGUAGUCC